GAUGAACGCUGGCGGCGUGCCUAAUACAUGCAAGUCGAGCGAACAGACGAGGAGCUUGCUCCUCUGACGUUAGCGGCGGACGGGUGAGUAACACGUGGAUAACCUACCUAUAAGACUGGGAUAACUUCGGGAAACCGGAGCUAAUACCGGAUAAUAUAUUGAACCGCAUGGUUCAAUAGUGAAAGACGGUUUUGCUGUCACUUAUAGAUGGAUCCGCGCCGCAUUAGCUAGUUGGUAAGGUAACGGCUUACCAAGGCAACGAUGCGUAGCCGACCUGAGAGGGUGAUCAGCCACACUGGAACUGAGACACGGUCCAGACUCCUACGGGAGGCAGCAGUAGGGAAUAUUCGGCAAUGGGCGAAAGCCUGACGGAGCAACGCCGCGUGAGUGAAGAAGGUCUUCGGGUCGUAAAACUCUGUUGUUGGGGAAGAAAAAAUGUGUAAGUAACUAUGCACGUCUUGACGGUACCCAAUCAGAAAGCCACGGCUAACUACGUG
rnacentral:rRNA from 1 species